AGAGUUUGAUCCUGGCUCAGGAUGAACGCUGGCGGCGUGCCUAAUACAUGCAAGUCGAGCGAACUGAUUAGAAGCUUGCUUCUAUGACGUUAGCGGCGGACGGGUGAGUAACACGUGGGCAACCUGCCUGUAAGACUGGGAUAACUUCGGGAAACCGAAGCUAAUACCGGAUAGGAUCUUCUCCUUCAUGGGAGAUGAUUGAAAGAUGGUUUCGGCUAUCACUUACAGAUGGGCCCGCGGUGCAUUAGCUAGUUGGUGAGGUAACGGCUCACCAAGGCAACGAUGCAUAGCCGACCUGAGAGGGUGAUCGGCCACACUGGGACUGAGACACGGCCCAGACUCCUACGGGAGGCAGCAGUAGGGAAUCUUCCGCAAUGAACGAAAGUCUGACGGAGCAACGCCGCGUGAGUGAUGAAGGCUUUCGGGUCGUAAAACUCUGUUGUUAGGGAAGAACAAGUACGAGAGUAACUGCUCGUACCUUGACGGUACCUAACCAGAAAGCCACGGCUAACUACGUGCCAGCAGCCGCGGUAAUACGUAGGUGGCAAGCGUUAUCCGGAAUUAUUGGGCGUAAAGCGCGCGCAGGCGGUUUCUUAAGUCUGAUGUGAAAGCCCACGGCUCA
rnacentral:rRNA from 1 species